ACUGUCGGAAGAGAAAAAUUGCAAAAAAAAACAAGAUUGGCUAGGUCAGCACAACACAGAAAAACAACCACUCAUGCGAGAUAAGUGCGAACUUUUCCCGAUUUCCUGUUUUCGGAGAUUUGGCAACACUGUUAAAACGAUUUCGUCAUGAAAAGAGGAGGAUAACAACAACAAAAAAACAAGUUAAGACGCAAUUUUUUAUCUUGUGCACAUCGGAACAGGGUCGACUGCACUCAACAUCCUCACUGCAGUGCUAUUACACAACCGUCGAUGGUCGAAGAGCGCUUUAGUGCAAUGUCGGCAACUCGAUCGGAAUGCGACGCAUCUUUGGAAAGGAUCAAACAGGACUCAAAAGAAGUCGAUUGGACGUGUGGAAACCAUUGGAAUGGCAACCAGCUGAUAACAGGAAUUUCAUCGUUGUUGUUUUGUUUGUUUUUGUUGUUGUUGUUGUUGUUUUUUCCGAAUGGUACUAUACACAAAACAUGUAAACGGAUAAAGAGUUGAAAGCCGCGAUACAACCUGCUGUCUGCGGGUGUUUCGUUGUAAAUCUGUUAUGCUAAAUAAACACGUUUCUUCUU